GGACUACUGGGGUAUCUAAUCCUGUUUGCUCCCCACGCUUUCGCACCUCAGCGUCAAUAUGUGUCCAGUAAGUCGCCUUCGCCACUGGUGUUCUUCCGAAUAUCUACGAAUUUCACCUCUACACUCGGAAUUCCACUUACCUCUCCACAAUUCUAGCGAUGCAGUCUUAAAGGCAAUUCCGGAGUUGAGCCCCGGGCUUUCACCUCUAACUUACAAAGCCGCCUACGUGCGCUUUACGCCCAGUAAUUCCGAACAACGCUAGCCCCCUCCGUAUUACCGCGGCUGCUGGCAC
rnacentral:rRNA from 2 species